CCUACGGGGCACAGCAGUGAGGAAUAUUGGUCAAUGGGCGCGAGCCUGAACCAGCCAAGUAACGUGAAGGAUGACUGCCCUACGGGUUGUAAACUUCUUUUAUCAAGGAAUAAAGUGAGGCACGUGUGCCUUUUUGUCUGUACUUUAUGAAUAAUGAUCGGCUAACUCCGUUCCAGCGGCCGCGGUAAUACGGAGGAUCCGAGCGUUAUCCGGAUUUGUUGGGUUUAAAGGGAGCGUAGAUGGUUUGUUAAGUCAGUUGUGAAAGUUUGCUGCUCAACCGGACAAUUGAAAUUGAUACUGGCAGCCUUGAGGACAGUUGAGGUAGGCGGAAUGAGUGGUGUAGCGGUGAAAUGCUUAGAUAGCACGAAGAACUCCGAUUGCGAAGGCAGCCUACUAAACUGCCACUGACAUUGAUGCUCGAAAGUGUGGGUAUCAAACAGGAGUAGAGACCCUUGUAGUC
rnacentral:rRNA from 1 species